UAAUGCACCCUUUUUUCUUUCUAGAGGUUC
rnacentral:piRNA from 1 species